UACGGAGGGGACUAGCGUUGUUCGGAAUUACUGGGCGUAAAGCGCACGUAGGCGGAUUUGUAAGUCAGGGGUGAAAUCCCGAGGCUCAACCUCGGAACUGCCUUUGAUACUGCAAAUCUCGAGUCCGGAAGAGGUGAGUGGAAUUCCUAGUGUAGAGGUGAAAUUCGUAGAUAUUAGGAAGAACAACCAGUGGCGAAGGCGGCUCA
rnacentral:rRNA from 1 species